CAGGAUGGCAAGUCUUGCUGACAUGAGUCCCAGCCCUAAGUAGCUGUUUGGAAUAGAGGAAGAGGCACCACUGUGACACCACUUGCUUUGCAGGGCAGAGCCAGGUGAGAAGGUGAGCUCAUCAAACAGUUCGCGCCAUACCUUCAUCAGUGCCAUCCAUUAUGGAGACACCGUCUGGUCUGGACAGAAAUGGAGACUCUUCAAAGACAUUCCUCACCUUGGCAAUCAGAAAUAUUCAGAGAAGCUGGAGCACGCUGCUUCCCGACGCCAGCCACAGACAGCACCUGAUGCAUGUUGUGGACGUGUGUCCCUCUCAUCCCGCUCAUUGGUCUUACCUUGGCCAAUAGCCAGCUUAUCAUCAAAAUUCAUGACAGAUUCAUCACUGUCUUUCAUUCUUUUGAAUUGGAAUCUUAAUUCAGCAGAAGUAGCUAGACAAUAACAAGGGUUUUCUUUUGGGUGGCUGUGUUUCUCUUUUCACAUGGUGAAAGACAAAAUGCCAGAAAUCCAAAAUAAACAUAAUGCCAAGAAUCCUGA